AUGGAGAAAAAAACCCAAAUAUCUCAAAGAAGGCUUUCACUAAGCUUAAUUCAAACGUCUUCUUCUAGAAAUGAGACGAAGGAUUAAGGAUAGAUACAACAGACGGAAGGAAACGCGACCAGGAUUGUGGAAACAACUCGGCGAAGAUAUACUCCGAGCUGGCGCCCCACCCUGCCCGAUCCCAGGCUUUGGCGAGGCGUCUCUGUGGCCGGGCCCGAGGGACCAGGCGCCCCGAUGGCGAGGAGGAGGAGAAGAAGCAAGGCCGAGAAUCGGUCCCCAAGGGUCGCCCAGAGGACCCUCUCUCCGCUCCCUUCCAUUACUUUGCAUCGCGCGCCAAGCCCUCCGGAUUCCCGAAAAGGCCUGGCCAGGCGACGCUGCCUCUCCCUGACGGGCUGUCACAUUCACCUCCAAGAAAGUGGGAAUCUCCGACGACGCGUGUGUCUGUGGAUUGCUCAGGCGCCCCCUGGAACGGGUGGGACCGGGAGCGCAACCGCAUUGAAGUAAAAACUGAGUUGUUUGUUUUUCCCCUUCUCCCGCGCUAUCUAGGCGAGGGAAGUCUUGGUGUCAGGGCUACGGGAACAUCCUGGUUUGAGGAAGGAAAAGCGCGACUGAUCUUUCACCGUGGAACCCCCUCUCCCCACAAAGCCAUACACAGUCCCGCACGUUUGGGUCCAGAAAUACUUCUCAUUUAUUGGCUGUUGUUUUGAGACGGGAUUACUGAGACAUCAUUUUACCCCUCUUUCCUCAAACCCCAUGUCACAUCCACAUGUAAAGAAGUCCUAUAACACUUUAAUUGUAGUUCUGUGAGAGCAACACUCUUAACAGGCUAUGGUCCUCAGGAUUCUUUGGGGGAAGCCAUCAUUGUUUAAAGUGGGGCAAACAUAUGAUGAGCGUGUGACUCCAGUCUGUUCCGUACAUUUCCCAUUCGGUAUGUCCUGCCCCCCCCCGUUGAUGUCAGGCAGCAUCUGUGGAACUCUCUGCCUCAUUGACAUCUGCUGCCCUACAAUCCUAACCCCUAUUUUGCCGUCUACUGAAGACCAGAGCUGAAACUGUAGAUUUCCUCCCACCCCGCCGCCCCCAGACUUUAUCUCUCAGAGCCCACAAGACAUGAAAAUGUUGACAUCUGUUUAUUCCCACCUUUUGGUAGGGGUGUACGAAGGGGGGGGGGCAGGGGGCAGUCCGCCCUGGGUGCCACCCUGAUGGGGGUGACAAGAUGGUAUUCUGCCUCACCCCAGCUGUAGAGCGGCCAAGAGCAUGCACACAGCGUGUGUAUGGGCUGCUGUGCAUCCACUGUCUGUACGGGCGCCGCACAUGUGCAUUCUGUACAGUCGCCACACAUGCGCAGUUUGAGACCGCACUGACCUAUCUAUUCUGAAUGUUCUUAUGUGAUGCCAAUAAAGGUGACUUGACUUAACUUGACAUGCACAGUCUGUAUGGGCACCACACGGGUGCUGCCAGGUGGUUAGCCCUGCCCCUCGGCACCCUGCCUUUU
rnacentral:lncRNA from 1 species